rnacentral:rRNA from 1 species
GACGAACGCUGGCGUCGUGCUUAACACAUGCAAGUCGAACGGAGUGGCGAACGGGUGAGUAACACGUGGGUGACCUGCCCUGCACUUCGGGAUAAGCCUGGGCAACUGGGUCUAAUACCGGAUAGUGUGGGAUGGGCCCGCGGCCUAUCCGCUUGUUGGUGGGGUAAUGGCCUACCAAGGCGGCGACGGGUAGCCGUCCUGAGAGGGUGGACGGCCACAUUGGGAAAGAAACACAGGCCAGACUCGUACGGGAGGCAGCAGUGGGGAAUAUGGCACAAUGGGCGGAAGCCGGAUGCAGCGACGCCGCGUGGGGGAUGACGACCUUCAGGUUGUAAACUCCUUUCACCAUCGACGCGGGAGAUGGAGAAGAAGCACCAGCUAACUACGUGCCAGCAGCCGCGGUAAUAC